UAUGUAGGGUGCGAGCGUUGUCCGGAAUUACUGGGCGUAAAGAGCUCGUAGGCGGUCUGUCACGUCGGCUGUGAAAACUCGGGGCUUAACCCCGAGCCUGCAGUCGAUACGGGCAGACUAGAGUCCGGCAGGGGAGACUGGAAUUCCUGGUGUAGCGGUGAAAUGCGCAGAUAUCAGGAGGAACACCGGUGGCGAAGGCGGGUCUCUGGGCCGGAACUGACGCUGAGGAGCGAAAGCGUGGGGAGCGAACAGG
rnacentral:rRNA from 1 species